UGGCUACGAAAAGAGUUUUAAUUUUUUUAAGAGACCGGAGAGAAUUAACGGUUUCGGGCGACAGGCACAACGGAGAGAGAAACUAUGUUUGAA
rnacentral:ncRNA from 1 species